rnacentral:lncRNA from 1 species
UAAUAACAUAAUACAUACAAUUAUAUUUUGCUGGAUAAUAUGUCUAAAAUAACUUAAGCUCUGAUUUCAUAAUUGGCCACCAGGAUAAUGGAGAGUUUUAAGUGUCCUUAACCUGUAGUCUUUUUCAAGAGAUCUUUGACUAUUGUAUUAUGUGGUGUGUCUAUACAUUUUUCUGGGAGCUCCAUAGCACUUAAUUGCUCUGUGACCCCCACCUACCCCCAAAAAAGUAAACAGUAACUUCUUUGAAAGUAGCAUAUGUCACCAUAUCAACUGUCAAGUGUUUUGUGUUUUUGAGUAUAAUCCUAGACAAAUUUUAAUUAAAAUUAACCCUCAAAAUCUUCCGGCAUAUAAAUUGGUGUUUGGG